ACUGAAGACACAGCUGUGUACUACUGUGCACGAGGCUCACAGUGACAGAAAGUAGUGGGACAGUGGUACAAAAAGUCUCUUAGAAAUGAUGUGAUGCAGGUCUUAUGGGUCUUCAGGAGUCUCUCACCAUCAGGCCAGUUCUUGCCCCACCAGACCCCAAUGUACCUUUCUUGUUCUACAAGGAUGUCUGGGGAAGGUCUGGGUGCAGUUCUCUCACAGAUUGGACCAGGGAGAGAGACAAUGGUGGCCUAUUUAAUUAAAGGCCCUGAACAAGGCUGAGUGCAUUAUUGCGUCACCCGCCUGGAGCUGUUGGCGGUGGUGACCAUGAUCCGUCACUUCUGCUGUUAUUUCUGUGGCCAGCCUUUCACCCUUCGCACUGAUAUCUGAGAAUCGAGAUGACAAAAUCGAUGUGGUCCGUAUCGCAGUGGAACAUCUCCAGGGACACCUGAUAUCGGACGAGGAGGAGACCGGGGAGGAGGGAUCUCUGCUGCAUACCCUCUCAGGAGCUGAGCCACCAGGGAGUUCAGGUUGAAAUCAGAGUCGGGAUCACAUGUCCAGAGAAGUCAGAAGCUGGAGUGGGGGAACAGGAGGUAAAUACACUGGGAAGGUGCGAAAUGAACAUGGGCUUGGAAGGACUGCAUCAGAAAUGGCUAGGAAGGUAUGGGCAACACCAAAGGCAUGAAAGAAACACUCAGCAGGUCACAUGAGAACAACAAAACCUCACAGGUGUUUGUAAUUAACAGGUUUGAUUGAGCUGCGUCUGCAUGCAGGAUGUGACAGAAAGCUGUUACUGAACAAAACGAAGAAGCAAACUUGUGUAAAUCAUGUUGGCCGUGGAUUUCUUCCUGUAGCGUAGUGGCAUGGCUUUUGUUUGAGCAACAU